GGGCUUGUACUGGUUUCGACAGGGAUUCUGAAGAUGGAGAAGCUAUCCGUAGGUCGAUGCGUCAAAUCACAAACUUAAAAUUAAACGCUAACGAUAAUUUCGAAUUAGCUGCAGCCUAAUUGCUGCAUGUCAGCCCCGAGGCACCCGCACCUUGGGAAUCUGGCAUCAACUAUGCGGGAAACGAUAUUAGCAAAGCUUUGAGUUAAUAGGCGUAUUAUGAAGCUACCAAACCUGUAAGAGUGUUAGUUCUCGUACAGCAGAGGGAAUGUUAAAUAACUGACUAUGAUAGUAGAAGUACAUGGGAUGGGUUUUUGGACGCGAGUUCGAUUCUCGCCAGGUCCACUC
rnacentral:tmRNA from 1 species